CCUACGGGCGGCAGCAGUGGGGAAUAUUGCACAAUGGGGGAAACCCUGAUGCAGCGACGCCGCGUGAGUGAAGACGUCUCUCGGUACGUAAAGCUCUAUCAGCAGGGAAGUAAAUGACGGUACCUGACCAAGAAGCUCUGUCUAACUACGUUCCAGCUGCCGCGGUAAUACACCGGGGGCCAGCGUUAUCCGGAUUUACUGGGCGUAAAGGGAGCGUAGUGGGUAGCACAAGUCAGGAGUGAAAUCCCGGGGCUUAACCCGAGAACUGCUGUGGAAACUGUACGGCUGGAGUACAGGAGGGGUAAGCGGAAUUCGUAGUGUAGCGGUGAAAUGCGUAGAUAUUAGGAGGAACACCGGUGGCGAAGGCGGCUUACUGGACUGUAACUGACGUUGAGGCUCGAAAGCGUGGGGAGCAAACAGGAUUAGAUACCCCUGUAGUC
rnacentral:rRNA from 1 species